rnacentral:rRNA from 1 species
UACGGAGGGUGCAAGCGUUAUCCGGAUUCACUGGGUUUAAAGGGUGCGUAGGCGGGUAUGUAAGUCAGUGGUGAAAUCCUUGAGCUUAACUCGAGAACUGCCCAUUGAUACUAUAUGUCUUGAAUAUCCUGGAGGUCUGCGGAAUAUGUCAUGUAGCGGUGAAAUGCUUAGAGAUGACAUAGAACACCUAUUGCGAAGGCAGCAGGCUACGGGAUGAUUGACGCUGAUGCACGAAAGCGUGGGGAGCAAACAGG